UAUCAGUCACCUUUAUGUAUGCACACACCAUUUGUGUACACAGUUCUCUGGUUUUAGUUCUCUCAGACUGGGAGUGGAUGGCACUUCAGGAGUUGAACGUGGCGUGCUGUUCUGCUUCAACAACCGUCGUGUGGCUUUUCUCUUGGACACGGAUGAAAAGCACCAUCUUUUCAUCAAAACACACCCCUGGUUUCUUGUAUUUCCAAACAAAACCUUCUCAGUGCUGUGGAUUUUACAGUUGGGGUGUUGAGAGACGAGUGACACCUUGCCUUCAUCAGGAUCACAGCUAACUCUGAAGACCGACAAAAAGUUGCUCUUUAGCUCAAAGAGUUUUCUUAAAAUUUCUCUUGCAAAGGACAUCUCUGUUUCCCCCUCCAACUUCUGUUGUAUUGCUGAAGGAUGGUCCAUGCCUUUCCCACAUCCUGUGGCACAGCAAGAGUAGCAGAGAAGAGAAGGCUUGAUUGUCAACAUUGCUCAAGACACUGACCAUUAGGAAGACACUGCUGCAGAGUCUGAAACCAAACCAGCCUAUUCCUUGUUCUCAAGUCAUCUUGGGUUAGAAGCUGCUGAAAAACUUCCUUCUGGAUAAAUAACUGUGAUGUCCCCAUCAUCCCCAGAAUUGGAUUCCUUCACUGGGAUUGCUGAAACACUGGUCUGCUCCAAGGUUUCUCUCAUAGAAGAAUACUUCAGCUUCACAACAGGAGUGAGAAAAGUUUAAAUGCUUUAGGACUCACUCCUAGGCACAAGACUUUAUCAUUUGAGCUUUUGUUUGGAAAUAAAUUGAGUUCUUGUCAUAGAUUGGGCAUCUUAUCCCCUGCUUCUUACAUAUCAAACUUUCUCAUAAUUCUAGAAGAAGAUUCAAGUGUUUGUUCUCUUUCUUUUAUUGGCGCUCAUCUUUAUUUAUUUUGUAUUCUUGAGAUGUGCUGCAUCUCUGGAGUUUGUAUUUCUACUUUUACCAUAAAAAUGCUGUACAUACAAGUCUAGAAUGCAUCUGAAGAUUAGUCUAAUUUUUCAUGUGACUUUGACUUGAACAUUUUUCUGUUUAUGUUUAUAUUGCUAUUUCAAAUAUGUUCAUUACCUGUAUUCUUUAUGCCUGUUUCCCAUCUCUCUAACUCAAUAAAAUAAUGUCCCCAUUCUUCAGAA